rnacentral:rRNA from 1 species
GACGAACGCUGGCGGCGUGCCUAAUACAUGCAAGUAGAACGCUGAAGGAGGAGCUUGCUUCUCUGGAUGAGUUGCGAACGGGUGAGUAACGCGUAGGUAACCUGCCUGGUAGCGGGGGAUAACUAUUGGAAACGAUAGCUAAUACCGCAUAAUAGCAGUUGUUGCAUGACAACUGUUUGAAAGGUGCAAUUGCACCACUACCAGAUGGACCUGCGUUGUAUUAGCUAGUUGGUGGGGUAACGGCUCACCAAGGCGACGAUACAUAGCCGACCUGAGAGGGGGAUCGGCCACACUGGGACUGAGACACGGCCCAGACUCCUACGGGAGGCAGCAGUAGGGAAUCUUCGGCAAUGGACGGAAGUCUGACCGAGCAACGCCGCGUGAGUGAAGAAGGUUUUCGGAUCGUAAAGCUCUGUUGUAAGAGAAGAACGAGUGUGAGAGUGGAAAGUUCACACUGUGACGGUAUCUUACCAGAAAGAGACGGCUAACUACGUG